UAUGAACCUCCAUUAGUUCCAAGUUAUUUCUCUCACCAGAUUGCCUCGAACCAUUCCCUUCAUUAUUUUCAUCAGUUGGUGAAAGAAUAGAGUAACCUUUUGAUGCAAACUUGGCUUCUGAUGACUCCGCUUCAUUUGGCUGGUCGGUAACGGAAGGCACCCAUAUUGCCAGCCCAACAGCACCCAUGAGAGGAAGCAAAAUUCUAUAAUCUUUUGUCAACUCAAACAAUAAAAGCACUGACGUCAAAGGCACUGAGCAAACUGAAGCUAGUGUAGCAGCCAUCCCCACCAGUGCAUAUGCCUGCGGCUGGGCAAUAGCAGCAUUCCCUGGAAUAGCUGAAUUAAUUAGUUCCCCGGCUAACCCUCCAAAUACAGCACCUACAGCAGCACCUAUCAUUAAGCUUGGUGCAUACAAUCCACCAACAAGGCCAGACCCUUUGCACAAAGCAGUGGCCACGACUUUUGCAGCAACUAAUUGAGCUAGCCAUCCAAUUCCAGGUGCAGAUGCAGUUUUCCCAGUAUGUAGGAUUUCAUCAACAUUAGUGAAACCCCAAUAGAGAAUUCCAGGAUAUCUCAGAGCUAUUACACCAGCUCCUAAACCCCCCAAAGCAGGGCAGACAACAUCAGAAAGUCCAAACUUUUCCUUUAGGAACUGAAAUGCUUUAGAGAACCAGGCAACUAGCCGAGUAAACACCACACUUACUGCUCCACACAGCAUCCCCAGUAUUAGAUAUAAAGGUAACUCAGCAGCAGAUCUCAUAUCAUACGUGGGCACAUUGAAAGCCUG
rnacentral:misc_RNA from 1 species